UACAGAGGUCCCAAGCGUUGUUCGGAUUCAUUGGGCGUAAAGGGUGCGUAGGUGGCGCCGUAAGUCGGGUGUGAAAUUCGGAGCUUAACUCCGAACUGCAUUCGAUACUGCGGUGCUUGAGGACUGGAGAGGAGACUGGAAUUCAUGGUGUAGCAGUGAAAUGCGUAGAGAUCAUGAGGAAGACCAGUGGCGAAGGCGGGUCUCUGGACAGUUCCUGACACUGAGGCAC
rnacentral:rRNA from 1 species